ensembl:lncRNA
UUGUGGAGGCCCGGCGGGUGUGAUGGCGUCCGCCCGGCGUGGCCGCCGUUGCGCUUUGUGCCUUUCCGGCCUGGUCGUGUUGUGUGUGGGCGUUAAAGGCGCCCGAAGCGAUUUGGCAGUGAGUGUCGAUGUGCUGUUCUGGACCCUCCUGUGCGGGUGAUGUCACCAUGACGUGAUGACCUCACAGAUGCCCUGGGGUGGGGCAGGGGCAGUGGGUCAGCGCGGAACCUGCUGGCCCCAUUCUGCGGGUGGUGCUGGUCCAGCGAGGAGCUGUGCGAGUGGUGCAGUAAUGCGGGCCCAGUGUGUCAGCAGAAGAUUAAGGGCGGUGUGGCGUGCGAAGCUGGUGGAGGAGGAGCUGCUGGCUCAUGCGGCCGUGGAGAAGUGCAAGGCCGUGGCCAGGGAAUCCUUGAUGAAGGAUGCCCAGAAAUUACGGGCAGAAAGAACAGCUGCCAGGAAAGAGAAGCUGAAGCAGGAGAAGCAGCUCGUUGCCCAGCUGGAACAGCAGCUGCAGGCUGAGACAGAGGAGAUGGAGGUGCUGCGCCAGGAAAAACAGCACCUGCAAGAGGAGCGGGAGGAGCUGGAGCUGGAGGGUGCCUGGCAGCAGCAUCAGCUGGAGCUGGAGGCAGCCCACGUGCCUGGGGCUGUGCUGCCGAAGCUGGUGGAGGCAGAGCUGGAGAAGAAGGAGCAGGCGAGGAGACGAGGGCUCGCCUUCUGGAUGAAGACAAUCUGCCUCAUCUUCGUCAGCCUCCUGCUGCUGCUCGUUGCUGUGCUGGGCUCUGCAGUGCUGUACGCCCAGCACUAUGACCAGGAGCUGUUGUAUCGGCUCCUGCUGCGAGUGCUGCCCCAGGCAAUGUACGCUUCCCCGGCGUACUUUGCGAGCAGGAGCCUGCGUGUCGUCUGUGAUGGGCUGCUGCCCAUCUGACCGCCCCUCUCAGUCCCCCCUCCCAGCUCGGGGCUGCGCGGUGGGGCACGGGGAGAGAGCUCUGUCCCCACGGAAGGGGCCUCUCCUGUGCUCCUGCCCCCAGGGGCGCACAGGCACAGCUGUGGGGCAGUGCCGGCAGGCGGCUGAGUGCUGGACUUUGGACUUACAAAUAAGUUGGUACUGUCGUCGUCAACUGAACACCACCACCUCCGACGACCCAUCAGACUGAAGAUGUGCACCUGACGCCAGGACGUGGCUUCUUGGAUUCUUUGAGUCUUCGUAGCAGCCAUUUCCUUCAGCUGGUUACCUGUAAGGCUUAUGAAUUGUAAUUAGCCCAUUAGGCAAUGUUACCUCCAGUGGGCUGUUGUCAGUUGUUAAGAAUGCUGUCAAUAAAUGGAUGUGUAUUAAUCCU